GCUGGGUGGAAGAGUGGCGAACGGGUGAGUAACACGUGAGUAACCUGCCCUGAACUCUGGGAUAAGCACUGGAAACGGUGUCUAAUACUGGAUACGACCUAUCACCGCAUGGUGUGUGGGUGGAAAGAUUUAUCGGUUUUGGAUGGACUCGCGGCCUAUCAGCUAGAUGGUGAGGUAAUGGCUCACCAUGGCGACGACGGGUAGCCGGCCUGAGAGGGUGACCGGCCACACUGGGACUGAGACACGGCCCAGACUCCUACGGGAGGCAGCAGUGGGGAAUAUUGCACAAUGGGCGCAAGCCUGAUGCAGCAACGCCGCGUGAGGGAUGACGGCCUUCGGGUUGUAAACCUCUUUUAGUAGGGAAGAAGCGAAAGUGACGGUACCUGCAGAAAAAGCACCGGCUAACUACGUGCCAGCAGCCGCGGUAAUACGUAGGGUGCAAGCGUUGUCCGGAAUUAUUGGGCGUAAAGAGCUCGUAGGCGGCUUGUCGCGUCUGCUGUGAAAUCCCGGGGCUCAACCCCGGGCCUGCAGUGGGUACGGGCAAGCUAGAGUGCGGUAGGGGAGAUUGGAAUUCCUGGUGUAGCGGUGGAAUGCGCAGAUAUCAGGAGGAACACCGAUGGCGAAGGCAGAUCUCUGGGCCGCUACUGACGCUGAGGAGCGAAAGCAUGGGGAGCGAACAGGAUUAGAUACCCUGGUAGUCCAUGCCGUAAACGUUGGGAACUAGAUGUAGGGCCUGUUCCACGGGUUCUGUGUCGUAGCUA
rnacentral:rRNA from 1 species